rnacentral:rRNA from 1 species
GCACAAGCGGUGGAGCAUGUGGUUUAAUUCGACGCAACGCGAAGAACCUUACCUGGGCUCGAAAUGUAGUGGAAUCCGGUAGAAAUAUCGGCGUCUAGCAAUAGACCGCUAUAUAGGUGCUGCAUGGCUGUCGUCAGCUCGUGUCGUGAGAUGUUGGGUUAAGUCCCGCAACGAGCGCAACCCUUAUCUCUAGUUGCUACCAUUUAGUUGAGCACUCUAGCGAAACCGCCUCGGAUAACGGGGAGGAAGGUGGGGAUGACGUCAAGUCCUCAUGGCCUUUAUGUCCAGGGCUACACACGUGCUACAAUGGCCGGUACAAACCGCUGCAAACCCGCGAGGGGGAGCUAAUCGGAAAAAGCCGGCCUCAGUUCGGAUUGGAGUCUGCAACUCGACUCCAUGAAGCUGGAAUCGCUAGUAAUCGUGGAUCAGCAUGCCACGGUGAAUACGUUCCCGGGC